rnacentral:rRNA from 1 species
GAAUGUGCCUUCGGGAACCGUGAGACAGGUGCUGCAUGGCUGUCGUCAGCUCGUGUUGUGAAAUGUUGGGUUAAGUCCCGCAACGAGCGCAACCCUUAUCCUUUGUUGCCAGCGGUCCGGCCGGGAACUCAAAGGAGACUGCCAGUGAUAAACUGGAGGAAGGUGGGGAUGACGUCAAGUCAUCAUGGCCCUUACGACCAGGGCUACACACGUGCUACAAUGGCGCAUACAAAGAGAAGCGACCUCGCGAGAGCAAGCGGACCUCAUAAAGUGCGUCGUAGUCCGGAUUGGAGUCUGCAACUCGACUCCAUGAAGUCGGAAUCGCUAGUAAUCGUGGAUCAGAAUGCCACGGUGAAUACGUUCCCGGGCCUUGUACACACCGCCCGUCACACCAUGGGAGUGGGUUGCAAAAGAAGUAGGUAGCUUAACCUUCGGGAGGGCGCUUACCACUUUGUGAUUCAUGACUGGGGUGAAGUCGUAACAAGGUAACCGUAGGGGAACCUGCGGUUGGAUCACCUCCUUA